rnacentral:lncRNA from 1 species
GGCUCGGAUGCUCAGGGACGGUGGGGGUGGCAGGGCCCACCGGCUUGAGGCUGCCUUUCCCGGCGUUCCCUCGUUUAUUGGCUCACUCUUCCUUUCAUCCAUCCAUCCUUUGCGCAACAAUAUUUGAUGGGAAGCCUGCCAAGAGGCAGGGAGAAAGACACAUGGGCAGGAGAAUACCACAUGGAGACACAGACACACGAGGGGAGGAUGCCUGCUGACCAUGGAGGCAGAAGUGGGACUGACGCAUCGAUCAGCUGAGGGAUGCCAAGCACUGCCAGCAAACACCAGAGGCUUGAUGGGGGCGAGUAUUCUCCUGUGCAGGUAUCAGAGGGAGCCUGGCCUUGCAGAUACCUUGAUUCCUGACUUCUGGCCUCUAAAAUGUCCAAUGUGAGUCAGGCAUCUCUCCUGGUGGCUGUCUUCCAUGUGGUGACUUAUGUAUCCAGGAUCCUUCUACUGUGUUUCUCCUCCAUUGCGAAGUCCUUCACUUCCAGCACCUGAGACAUUUUUUGGGUAUAUCUACAAGUGGCAUAUAUCACUUCUGCCCACAUUCACCUGGGUAGAACUCAAUCACAUUGUUUCACCUAACUGCAAGUGAGGCUGUGGAAUAUAGUCUCCCUAUGUGCCCAAGCAGAAGAAACAGGAUUGUGUGACUCUACAAUGUGUGAUUGCUCCUGGUGAAUCAAAAGGAUAAAGCUGCUGAUUCUGCAAUUUGAUAACCCAACCAUGCUGACCUCAAAGUGUAGUCAAUCCAUGAAGUUCCUCCCACCACAGCUCAUCCUGAACACUGCCCACCUGAGUCAUCAAGAAAGAUUUCACCUGAUUCUUGGCCACAAAGUUUCAAGGGAACCAGAGCUAAUGAAGACAGCAUGGAAGGGCACCGCCGAGACCUACCUGUGGGAGUCCACCUCACCCUCAAGAACAGCUACCAUUUUAACACAGAUGGAUAAACCCCAUGAAAGUGAACUUCCUAAAUGCAAAUUCUGAUCUUGAAGCCCCAGCUGGCACAUCUACUGGAGACCCUCCCAAGCAACAAGAUGUAGAUGCUUUAGAGAUAACAAACUAUACAAGUUGUCUUCCAUUCUUUCUCCUUCCUCUAUUUUCAACACGGAUAAAAUACAUAUAUAUUUAUCUUGCUGAGCUCAGUAGGAUUAUUUAGCUUUAUUUCCAUGGCUGCCUUUUCUUAAUGUAAUAGAAUUUCCAAUCGAGCUUAUUACUUCCUUCCGUCACAAGCCUGAGGUCCUUUCACACCCAUCCUGUCCUUGGCAAAGAUCUUUGGAAAGUAGCCUGGGACAUACCUAGUGGUAAGCCACCUGCUCUGGGUUGAGGGUGGAUCUAUUCUAGUCAGAGGCUUUGUGAUCUGGACAAAGGAAUUGAGUAUGUGGCUGUCAAACUGUCAGGCAAUACUAAAUUUGGCUGGCCAGCUGAAUUCUAGCAGAAAAUCAUGCAAAAUAAGGUUUAGCAAUUGGGGAAAAAUGGCCCACAGGAAAAACAAAGGGAUGAAAUUCCGUAGGACUACACGGCCAUAGAAUUCUAACUUGAGGGCUGCAACCAGCUAUGUGACCUUGUAGUACAAGGACCAGUCUUCAGAUACAAAAUAGAGUUUGGAGUUAAAGGGAUCUUUGAGAAGAAGCCAUUAUCCACCCCCUCCUCCCAAUUUUAUAUGCCCUAAGAAAAAGGUUUCUUUCAACUUAGAAAGGUAUGAUUCUUGAAGUGCACUUCCUCCGAGUUUUCCUGAGCCUCUCAAUCAAAAUGACUUGCACCUGCCCAUCCAUUCCCAUUGGCUUAUGCUCCUACCCUGCAGUAUUGGCUUCAUUAUGCCUCACCUUGUACACCUGUCUGAUUCCUCUCCUAGAUUAUCAGCACCUUGACAAUGGGCUCGUAUCUUGUGUAUCCCUGAAUUUCCAGGGACAAUGAUAGUGCCUGCCACAUAAUUGAUGGUCAAUAAAUUUUGGUUAAAUAGUAACAAGAAACUCCCAUUUAAAAAAUGUGUUAUCGUUAUCAUUCUCAAUCUGGAUGCUCUCCUCUAUACACAGUUUUAUUCAGUAACUCUCUUAAAAUUGUAAAGGUGAGAAAUUGAACACAGUUUCCCAGGUCUUUGAGCAGCACGAGAUACAGGGAGAAAAAAAAUGCUUUGUGCUUGAAUACUUUACUUCUGAUUGGAGAAAAUAAACACUGCACUGGAUUAUUUUUAAAGAUACAUCACAUUACGUUUGUGAUCAACUGAAAUGCUAAGAUAUUUGCAUGUGGAUUUCUGCCAAGCUGCUUUUCUCCCAUUCUUCAUGUGUGUGAUUGAUCUUGAAAUCAAAUGGUGGGACUUUAUAUAUUUUUUUGUUUUAACUCAAGGUAAAGUCUGACAAAAAUCACGUUAAAUUUGAUGCUGUCAGUGAAGACAUUAGCAAUCCUUCCUGGCUUAAGGUCACUGGCAAAUUUGAUAUACUUAUCUUUUGUGGGGUUUUUUUGUUGGUUUUUUUAAGACAGGG